rnacentral:tRNA from 1 species
UGAAAUUUAGGAUACCUACCUAGUCCAAGAGCCUUCAAAGCCCUAAGAGGGAGUGAAAACCUCCCAUUUUCAG